rnacentral:lncRNA from 1 species
UGAGUUCUCAGCGCCUCCCGCCGCGCAGGCUCGGCGUUGGCCUCCGCGGCCCGUGCGAGUGCGCCCUUCUCGGGUCCCCUAGGUCGCGGGGCAGCCGGGGCGGAAGGGGCUUGUUCAUUAUUUUGAGAGUUUGUUGUGAACGUCAUAACCUUUCGUCCUUAAAUAUUGCCGAUACUUGACCUACGCAAGAGACAAUGUCAUGUGAUUCAGCCUAAUAUCUCAGAGGAUGCAGCAUUCAAGGUUCUAUCUUGGAAGCAGAGACUGUGCCCUCACCAGAUGCUGAACCUGCUGAGCACCCUGAUCUUCCACUUCACCUUCAUCAGAACUGGACGCGCAUGAAAUUUGGUGCCGUGACUCGGAUCGGCGGACCUCCCUUAGGAGAUCAAUCCCCUGUCCUCCUGCUCUUUGCUCCAUGAGAAAGAUCCACCUACGACCUAAGGUCCUCAGACCAACCAGCCCAAGAAACAUCUCACCAAUUUCAAAUCCGAAAUCCUUCAUCUAAUCUGGCAAACACAUGUGGCAGGUUUUUCUCACCGCAUAAAAUAUGUUAUAGAGUAGUCCAUCUAUUUCUCUUCCAUGGAAGAGUUCAUCUGGUAGAUUGGACUACCACUUUUCCUUGUGGAGACCUAUUCUGUUGGGUUAGAGAUGACAGAAAAUCUUAUUUGUCGGUUGGUUUGUUUGUUCAAGAAUACACUGACCUUCUACAAGAAAGGAGAGCUCUUUGACACCUGGAAAUUUUACAGAAGCUUGGGACAGCUCUGAAUGGCAACACGGUCCUGAGAUAUGUGAUUACCUGGGACUUUCAUUGGACCUGCAUUUCAGCUCUACUCUCCUCACUGCCCUAUGCUGCUUUGACCCUAAAAGUGAAGCCAGCUUGGCCAGGUGCAGUGACUCACACCUGUAAUCCCAGCACUUUGGGAGGCCGAGGUGGGCAAAUCAAGAAGUCAGGAAAUCGAGACCACCCUGGCCAACAUUGUGAAACACCAUCUCUACUAAAACACAAAAAAAUUAGCCAGGUGUGGUGGCACGCACCUGUAGUCCCAGCUACUCGGGAGGCUGAGGCAGGGGAAUCACUUGAACCCGUGAGGAGGAAAUUGCAGCGAGCCAAGAUCGCGCCACUGCACCCCAGCCUGGGCGACAGAGAGAGACUCCAUCUCAAAAACAAAACAAAACAAAACAAAAAAAACAAAAAGUGAAGCCAACUCAAUUGUCUCAUAGAACUGAUCUUUACGGUGUUUUUAAAUAAACAUAGAAAUUGGCCCUCCCAGUCUUAAAACUUCAAAAACUUACAUUUGUCUUACCUCAGUUCCUUUCUCAGGAAUCCAAUCAUCAAGGCUCCCAGAUAGUAUCAAUGAACGGAAACUUACCAGAUCACGAUAUCUGGACAAUGAGAUGUCAGAUCCCCCUCAUCCAUCCUGAUUACCUAACUGACUACCUGCUUCCUGUUGGCCAACUACUCUUCCUUACCCCUCCCUAAUUCUUGUUUUCCCACAAAUGGUUACAUUUCUGUCCUGCUAUAGAAGCCCUUAAUUUUAAUUGGUCGAGGAGAUGGAUUUGAGACUGAUUUUUUGCUCUCCUUGGCUGUUGCACCUGAAUAGCCUUUUUCCCUGGCAAUACUUUUUGUCUCAGUGAUUGGCUUUCUGUGCAGUGAGCAAUGGGACCAAACUUCUGGUGUUUUGGUAACAAAUUUUGGUUUCCUGACUGUGAAUGCAUUGCUUGUGACUCAGCUGCCAUGAGCUGGGAGAGUUUCAAAAGCCCUCUAAGCAGCUACCUGACCAUUUUGGCCAGAGGUGGAUUUUCGUCUCUCCCCAUUUGGGCCCACUUCUGCCAACCCCAACCAUGUUCCUGAUUGCCUAGGAAGAACAGCCUUUGAAAUUUGACGUCUAUGUACAGAAAGG